rnacentral:rRNA from 1 species
GGAUUAGAUACCCUGGUAGUCCACGCCGUAAACGAUGUGUGCUAGUUGUCGGGACUCUGGUCUCGGUGACGGAGCGAAAGUAUUAAGCACACCGCCUGGGGAGUACGGCCGCAAGGUUAAAACUCAAAGGAAUUGACGGGGACCCGCACAAGCGGUGGAGCAUGUUGUUUAAUUCGAAGCAACGCGAAGAACCUUACCCACACUUGACAUCCUCCUUGGGACUUACAGAGAUGUUUGUCUUCGGUUCGGCCGGGGGAGUGACAGGUGCUGCAUGGCUGUCGUCAGCUCGUGCCG